rnacentral:rRNA from 1 species
GUAGGUGGCAAGCGUUGUCCGGAAUUAUUGGGCGUAAAGCGCGCGCAGGCGGUCCUUUAAGUCUGAUGUGAAAGCCCGCGGCUCAACCGUGGAGGGUCAUUGGAAACUGGGGGACUUGAGUACAGAAGAGGAAAGCGGAAUUCCAAGUGUAGCGGUGAAAUGCGUAGAGAUUUGGAGGAACACCAGUGGCGAAGGCGGCUUUCUGGUCUGUAACUGACGCUGAGGCGCGAAAGCGUGGGGAGCAAACAGGGAUUAGAUACCAUGGUAGUCCACGCCGUAAACGAUGAGUGCUAAGUGUUAGGGGGUUUCCGCCCCCUUAGUGCUGCAGCUAACGCAUUAAGCACUCCGCCUGGGGAGUACGGCCGCAAGGCUG